ACGCUCGACACCUACAGGAGGCAGCAGUGGGGAAUAUUGCACAAUGGGGGAAACCCUGAUGCAGCGACGCCGCGUGAAGGAAGAAGUAUCUCGGUAUGUAAACUUCUAUCAGCAGGGAAGAAAGUGACGGUACCUGACUAAGAAGCCCCGGCUAACUACGUGCCUGCAGCCGCGGUAAUCUGAGCGGCUGGCAAGGC
rnacentral:rRNA from 1 species